CAAGCUGGUAGCUGCUGAAAUUAUUGCUCACAAGUCACCUAACAUUUGUGCUGUAUGUACCGCAACAAAGUUGAAUAUGACACACACUAAAUAGUCAACACCGACCUGAUAACCUGAGACCUGCGCAUUGUACACCUGGGCUAUGGAAUCCAGAAGGUUGUGAGCCUCAUCGAUGAUAACAACACUUCCCUUCAGCCGCAGCCCACAGGCCUCUCUGGUCUCUUUGUGCAGCAGAGUAUUGUACGGCACUACCAGCACCUGGUCACACAGUCCUAGUAUUAUCAGUGGGGCUUUCAAAAAUGCCCAGUUUUCCUUCCUCAAGAGUUGAAUAUAGUGCUGACAUGAACUCAUGUUGAAUUGAGUACGGUGAAAAUGGAAAGGCGAACUCUUGUGGAGGUUUCAAGAGAUGUUCUUCUACC